AGCACUUCUCCUUCCUCACGUCACCAGUUGCAAAGCAGUUGGCCUGCAGGGGCCGAGCUCCACCUGGCCGGUGCCCAUGGUGGCUUCCCUUCUCGCCAAUCCUUGCGCCCCAUGGUGAGUCACUCCGUCCGUUCUUAUCCUCACCAUCCUCCUCCUAUAUAUAAAGCCCCCAACUCUCCCUCCUCCAAUCUCCAUUAACAGAACACCGAGCUCCACUUUUCCCCAAACUUUGCUGGCGAAAUCCGCCGCGGUUAGUGCAUCUCCGGCCGAUUCCUUGCAGCCACGGCGCCUCCUCGACGUCUCGAUUCCGUUUUGCUACUUCCCGGGCUCCCUCCCUCACCGGACGACGCCCUCCACGGGAGCUCCUCCGCCGCCUCCUUCGUGCGUCGUUCCUCCCUGUGCGCCGCCCUCCUCCAAGUGCCUGACUCCCUGCUGGUGUGCUCCCUGGCCCAAGGUUUAAGUCUGGAUGAUGGGCACUUCCAGGGUUGGAUCCAGCAGGGGCUUGGAUCGAGGAAAGUGACAAGAGCACUCAAGCUCUAAUAACCAAUUGGUGGGACGGAAACAUGGAAGCCUGGUGGCAUGUGGUGUAAUGAACCGGCCUUGGAAAUGAAUUAGCAGGGGUGGAUCCUGUUGUUGCCUUUUUAAAAUAUUACUUUCGAUUUGGGGGGCAUGGUUUCUAUAAUGUAGUUUUUUUAUUUCUUUUCUUAUUAUUUGCUGAUAGCUGAUCUACAAGCAGGUUGUUGGGCAUCGAGGCAUGACGACCAGUAAUAUAUGAACGAGGCUAAUUAGUUAUUACAAAUAGUUAAUUAAAAUUAAGGAUACAUUAGUUAUUGUGAAUAAAAAAUUAUUUCUCUUGUUUACUAGUGCCCCGUUAUCACUGCCAACCCAAGCAGCUGAUUCUAAAAACUGACACAGAAGAAACCAUAUCAAAAUCAUGGAAAAUGGAUCAUUGACUGUCUCGGACCAAUAUCUAGCACCCGGCAAUGGAGAGGAAUGGAUCGGAGUCCUUCGCAUAGCUUCCUGCCACUGAGUACAAGACCACAGGGUGAUAAGGCUGUGUUAAAUGAAUGGUAUACAUGCAUAGAAUGGUUCACUUUGAAUGAGAUGAGCCAGCACAGGAAGAUGGUACAAGCUAAGCAAGUACCAUUUUUGUUUAUCUGUAGUGUGAUACAUGCUUCUAUUUGUUUGCUUGUAUGGAAUGGUAUGGGCUCAUACAAGAUCAUGUUUGUUUGGAUAGGGAUGGAUUAGCCUGUUAUUAACCUAACUUGGUGAGCUUUAUCUCAUGUAUUGCUUUAUUGCGUAUCUUUUUAUAAUAAGUCUAUUUCUCCA